UACGUAGGGGGCAAGCGUUGUCCGGAAUCAUUGGGCGUAAAGCGCGUGUAGGCGGGUCGGUAAGUCUGCUCUGAAAGUCCAAGGCUCAACCUUGGGAUGCGGGUGGAUACUGCCGACCUCGAGUCCGGAAGAGGCGAGUGGAAUUCCUGGUGUAGCGGUGAAAUGCGCAGAUAUCAGGAGGAACACCAAUGGCGAAGGCAGCUCGCUGGGACGUGACUGACGCUGAGACGCGAAAGCGUGGGGAG
rnacentral:rRNA from 1 species